AUCGAACGCUGGCGGCAGGCCUAACACAUGCAAGUCGAACGAGUGGCGGACGGGUGUGUAAUGUCUGGGAAACUGCCCGAUGGAGGGGGAUAACUACUGGAAACGGUAGCUAACACCGCAUACAACGGGAUGCGCCCAGAUGGGAUUAGCUAGUAGGUGGGGGAACGGCUCACCUAGGCGACGAGCCCUAGCGGGUCUGAGAGGAUGACCAGCCACACUGGAACUGAGACACGGUCCAGACUCCUACGGGAGGCAGCAGUGGGGAAUAUUGCACAAUGGGCGAAAGCCUGAUGCAGCCAUGCCGCGUGUAUGAAGAAGGCCUUCGGGUUGUAAAGUACUUUCAGCGAGGAGGCGUUACUCGCAGAAGAAGCACCGGCUAACUCCGUGCCAGCAGCCGCGGUAAUUC
rnacentral:rRNA from 1 species